AGUGCUUUUUGGUUUUUGACUAAGAUCGAGUGCAGUAUCUGCUUUUAUCAGUUUAAUAUCUGAUAUGUCCCUUAUCAGAGGACUUUGUAUUAUGGGAUAUUUGGUGUGUGGACCUGGUGAAGAGUCCUCUCCUUCAUGGAGAUUUCCGCCAAGGCGGGACUUUUUACUUCAGGGUUCUUUUCUACUUCC